rfam:Oryza sativa (indica cultivar-group) chromosome 6, whole genome shotgun sequence.
UAUAAAUACAACGAUAAGUUUUCAUACCCAAUUUUAAUCAUCCGUCUUAUUUGAAUUUUUUUUAUGAUUAGUAUUAUUAUUAUUAUUAGAUAAUAAAACAUGAAUAAUAAUAUUUUAUGCGUGACUUAUGUUUUUAAUUUUUUUUAAAAAAAAUUAAAUAAGACGACCGAUUAAAAUUAGGUACGAAAAGUUAUGGCUACACUUAAA